rnacentral:rRNA from 1 species
UACGUAGGGGGCAAGCGUUGUCCGGAAUUAUUGGGCGUAAAGAGCGCGUAGGCGGUCCGGUAAGUCGGUUGUGAAAGUCGGGGGCUCAACCCUCGGAUGCCGAUCGAUACUGUCGGGCUAGAGUCCGGAAGAGGCGAGUGGAAUUCCUGGUGUAGCGGUGAAAUGCGCAGAUAUCAGGAGGAACACCUAUGGCGAAGGCAGCUCGCUGGGACGUUACUGACGCUGAGACGCGAAAGCGUGGGGAGCAAACAGG